rnacentral:rRNA from 1 species
CUACGGGAGGCAGCAGUGGGGAAUAUUGCACAAUGGAGGAAACUCUGAUGCAGCAACGCCGCGUGGAGGAUGACACUUUUCGGAGCGUAAACUCCUUUUAUAUAGGAAGAAGAUGACGGUACUAUAUGAAUAAGCGCCGGCUAACUCCGUGCCAGCAGCCGCGGUAAUACGGAGGGCGCAAGCGUUACUCGGAAUCACUGGGCGUAAAGAGCGUGUAGGCGGAUUAAAAAGUCAGAAGUGAAAUCCUAUAGCUUAACUAUAGAACUGCUUCUGAAACUCUUAAUCUAGAAUAUGGGAGAGGUAGAUGGGAUUUCUGGUGUAGGGGUAAAAUCCGUAGAGAUCAGAAGGAAUACCGAUUGCGAAGGCGAUCUACUAGAACAUUAUUGACGCUGAGACGCGAAAGCGUGGGGAACAAACAGGAUUAGAUACCCUUGUAGUC